GAAGGACCAUCAACGGGGAGAUAAGGAAACAAACUAAAGGAAGAGGCCAGGAAUGCCAGAGGGAGAUCUUAUGUCUUAUCAUCUCUACUCUUAAAUGGACAUCUGUGCCUGGAGGCUAUACAUGAAGGUAUG
rnacentral:lncRNA from 14 species